UGUGGGAGCGAGCUUGCUCGCGAUGGCGGCGUGUCAGGCAGCAUCAAUGCCGCUGAUCCACCGCUAUCGCGAGCAAGCUCGCUCCCACA
rnacentral:misc_RNA from 1 species